rnacentral:rRNA from 1 species
GACGUAGGGGGCCAGCGUUGCUCGGAAUUACUGGGCGUAAAGGGUUCGUAGGCGGUGCGGCAAGUCGGGAGUGAAAUCUCUGGGCUUAACUCAGGGGCUGCUUCCGAAACUGCCGUGCUUGAGUGCGGGAGAGGCGAGUGGAAUUGCAGGUGUAGCGGUGAAAUGCGUAGAUAUCGGGAGGAAUACCGAUGGCGAAGGCAGGUCUCUGGGCUGACACUGACGCUCAUGCACGAAAGCGUGGGGAGCAAACAGG